rnacentral:lncRNA from 1 species
AUUCUAUAUAAAUGAAACAAAACGGUACAUUUUUCUGCCAAAAUAAAAAUAAAAGAAGGGGUAAUAGGGUCUUCUUACCAGACCAGGAGGCUCAUCCUAUGGACCCCAGCACAUGACCUCACUUCCUUGGCGACAGGUCCCAACAGAACUUGGAAUCCUGGAGUCACCGGGCACCACGGUCUCACCAAGGCUGCCUGACAGUCACUUGGCUGGAGACAGUCAGCUGUGAGCAUGCUGUGCUGCUUUCCCAGGCCUCCAGGCCCCAGCCUCAGGACCCCGCAUGGGAAAGCACUUGGGAACGAGAGGAUGGAUGACUAAGUUCAGACACUACAGGCCACUCAACAGGAACAACCCAGUCCUAAUGGGCAGCACAGGGCAGGUCUCACCACACCCAGAGACCUUGGAGCCUGAGAUGAGAGGGAGCCCAGGGCAGGUCUCCCUGGGCCUGGCCACCAGGCACUCUGAGCAACCGAGUCCAGGACAAGAACAUUUAGGCCUGCCCACCACUGGCUGGCAGGAGGAGAAGGCCACUGCCCAGGGAUGACCCAUAGCCUUGGAGUCAUCUCCUAAACUCUUGGGAUAGAAGCCUGUGACAGAGCUGUUUGCCUUUGGGGAGCACAGGGUUACCUGGGACAAAAAUAUCACAAACUGUGACAAGGCAGAGCCUCAUGCUGCCUGCCAGCCACUGGACACUGUCCCACCAGAGCUGCACACAGGACAUCAGGACAUCAGCCUGGAUCUGUCACUGGGGCUUGUGUGCCAUGUGCCUGUGAUGGACACUGGGCCAAAAUAACAACAGGUGACAGCUCAGACACAGGUGUGUGUGUGUGAGGAGAGGAGACGCUGUCCUGGGGCCACAGGGGGACAGGCCCCUUGGGGACAGGCAACACUUUCACCUCCCCCCUGCGGGGCUUGGUAACAGUGGGCCAGGGUCCUGCUCCAAAAGAUAUCCGGGUCCCAAGUCACCUAGAUCCACAUCCUCUCUGCUCAACCUCCACCUUGG